UUUACGAGAAACAAUCGAAAGUCGAAAUCGAAUCGAAUCGCCAUUAAUUUUUCAGACGUUGUUCGUCAAAAAUGUUAAUAUAAAAUUUUAAGUUUAGCGUCUUUUUAAUAAGUGGUGUAGUUAUUUCUGGAGAAGUUAACCUCAAUCAUAUGCAAGCAUGACAUCUAUCAAGUUAUUGGAAGAUAGGGUAGUCGAAUUGGAAAAGCAAGUUUAUGGAUUUGGGAAGGUGUUGCAGCUGGAUGAUUCAUUACCAGAAACAUCUAUUACCGAUAAUCUCUUACAUGCGAAUACGUUGAUCUCUUCGGCAUUAUCAGGCAGGGAAAAGAUAGCGGAAGCUAUUAAACGAUUACCAGAAUUGAAUAAACAUUUAGAUAUAUCUUCGGAUGAAUUAGAUGUGCCCGUAGAAAUUAAAUCUCAUUUAUUAUUACUUUCGGAACAAGAAAUCAUGGAUAAUCAUAAGUAUUUAAGCGAAAUACAAGAGUUGAUGCCAGUUUUAAAAACGGAUUCUUUAAAAGACCUUCCAGAAUUAUCUGUUAAACUUAACGAGUUAUCUUUGAAACAGUUGAAGAUACAUGAUGAAGCAGAAGCAUUUGCCAAGGAUAUGCAUGCCAUAUUCAGUAUUUAUAAUGGUGUAAUAGAUAGUAUAUCUAAAACAUUAAUUAGCUUGGAUAAAGAAAUAACACGUGCUGAACUGAAAGAAAGUAGAAAGUAGAUAAGUGACGGUAUGCUAUUAAUAUAUUCUGCAAUUUCAAGAAAAUUAUUUUCUCCUGAGUAUACAUUACACCGGCAGUUGUAAAGGUCGUUGGUAUGAUAAAAAGAACUAGUAAAAAAAAGAAAUGAAAGUGGAAAUGGAUAAUCAUCUUAUUGUAUACACGUUUUAAUGCGUGGGUAUAUAUACUACUUUCGCAAUCGAGGAGUAAUCUGCAAGUCAAGGACAAAUAAUUUAAAGGGAUGAUUAUGAGAAGAAAGUCGAGAUCGACGAACCAGUCGACUGAAUUAACGAAUAGCGGACGUGGGUGUUAUCGACAGUAUGCCUACGGAUUUCGAACUAUCGAAGUGGUCGAACAAGAUUAUGCGACCAUCGAUGAACUCGAAGCAGAGUCAGUGGAAUCUAAUAUAGAAGCGGGUUAGUCCGCUACCAAAUGCCCUUCCCUUCCCUGGCGUAUUAAGAUAACAAGAAUAACUUCUACUCAGAAAUAAACUAUCUUAUUGUUGGAGAGAGAAAAUGAAAAAUCUAACAGGAAUUGAGUUUUCUAAGGCUCAGGCAACGAUUUCCAGGACACCCUAUAGGAACGAUCAGACGAGCGAGCGUGUUUGCGAGUGUACACAUAAACGUUGAGAAGGCAUAUACUGCACCGAAAGUGGUUGACCCUGAGAGAGCCAGGCACAAAGGACUGAUUCACCCCGCGGAGUCCUACGAGAAAAGAACCAACCGUUUACCCGGCUUCAUUUUGUAGGAAUCUUUCCCCAUUCCUCAAAGCUUAUCUCAUCUAUUGGAAUAAAGUAAUUUAUUAAUGAUCCUAGGAGAUAAAUUCUUAAUCGCUGAUAAGGAAUGGAGAAAAAAGAUAAGAUUGAAAGGAAUAUUAAUUACAUUGAUAAUUCUCUUAAUUGCAAACAUUUUAAUAGACAGAAAAACUUGGUUGAUAAUAGCCAUACAAUUUUUUGCUCUACUUGAUGACAUGAAGAACUUAUUACCAUGAUAUAAAGAAAAAAGAAAACUAUUUUAUACGACACGCCUUGCUAGAGAGAUUCCAAGGAUUCCAUUAACGAUGAAAAGUCGACAUCCUCGAGAAUGAUGUAACGAUCGUAAUGAAAGAACGUGCGAAAGCAUUAUGACACUAACAUCUACACAGAUGUAAAACGCAUACACGAAUACACUGAUUCAAAUAUGUCCUCUUGUUGAUUGCACGAGAAAACUAUUGUACUGUGUGCAAUAUUACUUAGCCACCGUGGGUUUUGAUCCCUCCUACCGAUAAUCUUUUAUAGAAUGGAAAAUAAGAAAUAACAAGCCAGGGAAA
rnacentral:misc_RNA from 1 species